GCAAUGAGGACGCUGCCGAAGGUAGGAUUGGCGACUGGGGUGAAGUCGUAACAAGGUAGCCGUAUCGGAAGGUGCGGCUGGAUCACCUCCUUUCUAUGGAGA
rnacentral:rRNA from 1 species